UACGGAAGGUCCAAGCGUUAAUCGGAAUUACUGGGCGUAAAGCGCGCGUAGGUGGUUUAUUAAGUUGGAUGUGAAAUCCCCGGGCUCAACCUGGGAACUGCAUCCAAAACUGAUUCACUAGAGUACGAUAGAGGGAGGUAGAAUUCACAGUGUAGCAGUGAAAUGCGUAGAGAUGUGGAGGAAUACCAAUGGCGAAGGCAGCCCCCUGGAUCUGUACUGACACUGAGGUGCGAAAGCGUGGGUAGCGAACAGG
rnacentral:rRNA from 1 species